CCUACGGGAGGCAGCAGUGAGGAAUAUUGGUCAAUGGGCGCGAGCCUGAACCAGCCAAGUAGCGUGAAGGAUGACUGUUCUACGGUUUUUAAACUUCUUUUAUAAAGGAAUAAAGUGAGGCACGUGUGCCUUUUUGUACGGACUUUAUGAAUAAGGAUCGGCUAACUACGCGCCAGCAGCCGCGGUAAUACGGAGGCUCCGAGCGUUAGCCGGAUUUAUUGGUUUUAAAGGGAGCGUAGAUGGGUUGUUAAGUCAGUUGUGAAAGUUUGCGGCUCAACCGUAAAAUUGCAAUUGAUACUGGCAGUCUAGAGUGCAGUAGAGGUAGGCGGAAUUCGUGGUGUAGCGGUGAAAUGCUUAGAUAUCACGAGGAACUCCGAUUGCGAAGGCAGCUUACUAAACUGCCACUGACAUUGAUGCUCGAAAGUGUGGGUAUCAAACAGGAUUAGAUACCCUUGUAGUC
rnacentral:rRNA from 1 species